GAUGAACGCUGGCGGCGUGCCUAAUACAUGCAAGUCGAGCGAACAGACGAGGAGCUUGCUCCUCUGACAUUAGCGGCGGACGGGUGAGUAACACGUGGAUAACCUACCUAUAAGACUGGGAUAACUUCGGGAAACCGGAGCUAAUACCGGAUAAUAUAUUGAACCGCAUGGUUCAAUAGUGAAAGACGGUUUUGCUGUCACUUAUAGAUGGAUCCGCGCCGCAUUAGCUAGUUGGUAAGGUAACGGCUUACCAAGGCAACGAUGCGUAGCCGACCUGAGAGGGUGAUCGGCCACACUGGAACUGAGACACGGUCCAGACUCCUACGGGAGGCAGCAGUAGGGAAUCUUCCGCAAUGGGCGAAAGCCUGACGGAGCAACGCCGCGUGAGUGAUGAAGGUCUUCGGAUCGUAAAACUCUGUUAUUAGGGAAGAACAAAUGUGUAAGUAACUAUACACGUCUUGACGGUACCUAAUCAGAAAGCCACGGCUAACUACGUG
rnacentral:rRNA from 1 species